rnacentral:rRNA from 1 species
UACAGAGGGUGCGAGCGUUGUCCGGAAUCACUGGGCGUAAAGGGCGCGUAGGCGGCCUGGUAAGCGUGCGGUGAAAGCCCGGGGCUCAACCCCGGGUCGGCCGUGCGAACUGCGAGGCUGGAGCACUGUAGAGGCAGGUGGAAUUCCGGGUGUAGCGGUGGAAUGCGUAGAGAUCCGGAAGAACACCGGUGGCGAAGGCGGCCUGCUGGGCUAUGGCUGACACUGAGGCGCGACAGCGUGGGGAGCGAACAGG